rnacentral:misc_RNA from 1 species
GGAAGUAAAAUCGUAACAAGGUAUCUGUAGGUGAACCUGCAGAUGGAUCAUUCGUAUUAAUCAUAUAUAAAAUUAUGUUACAUAAGUGUUAAUAGUACUUUGAUAGGAUUUUUAUUUCAUAUUAAUAACAAUUGUUCAAUUAUUAAAAAUAAUAAAACAUAAAUUUUUAACAAUGGAUAUCUUGGCUUUU